GAGAGUAUAGCUCCGUGGUUAGAGCACAUGCUUAGCACCCAUGAGGUCCUGGGUUCAAUCCCCAGUACCUCCA
rnacentral:tRNA from 1 species